GAUGAACGCUGGCGGCAGGCUUAACACAUGCAAGUCGAACGCCCCGCAAGGGGAGUGGCAGACGGGUGAGUAACGCGUGGGAAUCUACCUAGUUCUACGGAACAACAGUUGGAAACGACUGCUAAUACCGUAUACGCCCUACGGGGGAAAGAUUUAUCGGAAUUAGAUGAGCCCGCGUAAGAUUAGCUAGUUGGUGGGGUAAUGGCCUACCAAGGCGACGAUCUUUAGCUGGGCUGAGAGGAUGAUCAGCCACACUGGGACUGAGCCACGGCCCAGACUCCUACGGGAGGCAGCAGUGGGGAAUAUUGGACAAUGGGCGCAAGCCUGAUCCAGCCAUGCCGCGUGAGUGAUGAAGGCCUUAGGGUUGUGAAGCUCUUUCACCGAUGAAGAUAAUGACGGUAGUCGGAGAAGAAGCCCCGGCUAACUUCGUGCCAGCAGCCGCGGUAA
rnacentral:rRNA from 1 species